UGCUGGCAGUGCAGGUGAUUUCACCAGCCAUGUCACAACAAGGUGUUAGCAGUGUCUCUAGUGGGUGUAGGUGAUGUCACAAGUGGUGUAGGUGAUGUCACAAGUGGUGUAGGUGAUGUCACCAGUCAUGUCACAACUGGGGUGUUAGCAGUGUCUCUAGUGGGUGUAG